AUUGAACGCUGGCGGCAUGCCUUACACAUGCAAGUCGAACGGUAACGGGCCUUCGGGUGCCGACGAGUGGCGAACGGGUGAGUAAUGUAUCGGAACGUACCUUUCAGUGGGGGAUAACGUAGCGAAAGUUACGCUAAUACCGCAUAUUCUGUGAGCAGGAAAGCAGGGGAUCGCAAGACCUUGCGCUGAUUGAGCGGCCGAUGUCAGAUUAGCUAGUUGGUGAGGUAAAGGCUCACCAAGGCGACGAUCUGUAGCGGGUCGGAGAGGAUGAUCCGCCACACUGGAACUGAGACACGGUCCAGACUCCUACGGGAGGCAGCAGUGGGGAAUUUUGGACAAUGGGGGCAACCCUGAUCCAGCCAUGCCGCGUGAGUGAAGAAGGCCUUCGGGUUGUAGAGCUCUUUCGGCCGGGAAGAAAUCGCACGGGCUAAUACCCUGUGUGGAUGACGGUACCGGAAUAAGAAGCACCGGCUAACUACGUGCCAGCAGCCGCCGUAAUAC
rnacentral:rRNA from 1 species